AUUGAACGCUGGCGGCAUACCUUACACAUGCAAGUCGAACGGUAACAGGUCUUCGGAUGCUGACGAGUGGCGAACGGGUGAGUAAUACAUCGGAACGUGCCUAGUAGUGGGGGAUAACUACUCGAAAGAGUGGCUAAUACCGCAUGAGAUCUACGGAUGAAAGCAGGGGAUCGCAAGACCUUGUGCUACUAGAGCGGCCGAUGGCAGAUUAGGUAGUUGGUGGGAUAAAAGCUUACCAAGCCGACGAUCUGUAGCUGGUCUGAGAGGACGAUUAGCCACACUGGGACUGAGACACGGCCCAGACUCCUACGGGAGGCAGCAGUGGGGAAUUUUGGACAAUGGGCGCAAGCCUGAUCCAGCAAUGCCGCGUGCAGGAUGAAGGCCUUCGGGUUGUAAACUGCUUUUGUACGGAACGAAAAGCCCCGGGUUAAUACCCUGGGGUCAUGACGGUACCGUAAGAAUAAGCACCGGCUAACUACGUGCCAGCCGCCGCCGUAA
rnacentral:rRNA from 1 species